rnacentral:rRNA from 1 species
UACGUAGGGACGAGCGUUGUCCGGAAUUACUGGGCGUAAAGGGCGCGCAGGCUGCGUUACAAGUCAGCUGUUAAAUGCAUGGGCUUACCCCAUGAGUGCGGUUGAAACUGUAGUGCUAGAGUACUGUAGAGGCAAGCGGAAUUCCCAGUGUAGCGGUGAAAUGCGUAGAUAUUGGGAGGAACACCGGUGGCGUAGGCGGCUUGCUGGACAGUAACUGACGCUGAGGCGCGAAAGCCAGGGGAGCAAACGGGAUUAGAUACCCCCGUAGU